GUAUUAUAUAUAUAUAUAUAUAUAUAUAUAUAUAUAUAAUAAUAAUAAUAAUAAAAAUAAUUUUAUUUAUGGUAAGUUUUAGUAUUUAAGAGAAUUAAUUAAUAAUAUUAUAGAGUAAUAGAUCUGUAAAGGUAAUUUGAAAUAUAAUGAAAAUUGAAUAUUAAUAAAGUAGAUUUAAUUGAUCUUACCUUGUGUAUCAGGGGUUAUUAAUUUUAUUAAUUUUAUUAUUUUAUCUCGAAUUUAAAAGAGUUAAUAUUUUAUGAAUUAUAUUGUUUAAUGAAUAUAUUUAAUAAAAUGUUGGUAAUGAAAUGUUAGUCGAUUUUAAAUAUAUCUAGUUUUUAAAGAAAUAAAUUUAAUUUAGGGGAUUAAUAUUUAAUUUAUUUUAAUAAUUAAAUAGAUUAGAUUAAUUUACUUAUAUUUUAGGGGGUAAUCUUUAAAUUAUAUAUUCUAGAAUUAUAUAUAAUAUUAUAUAUAUAAAGGUUUAAUAAUAUCCAUUAUUUUAUAAAUGUUAUAAUUUAUUUAUAGUUAGUUUUGAUUUUAUUUAAUUUAGAUAUUUUAUUUAAAUAAAUUUUAUAUUAAGUAUAAUUUUGUAAUAAUGAUAAUAUUAGUAAAUUAUAUAUAUAUAUAUAUAUAGAAAAGUAUAAGUAAGGAAUUUGGCAAUAAUAAGAAUAUAUUCACCUGUUUAACAAAAACAUGUCUUUCUGAUUUUAAUUUAAAGUCUAAUCUGCCCAAUGAUGAAUUUAAUGGCCGCGGUAUUUUGACCGUGCAAAGGUAGCAUAAUAAUUAGUCUCUUAAUUAGAGACUGGAAUGAAUGAUUGAAUGUAAUAUAUACUGUCUCAUUUAUAUUAAUGAUUGAACUUAAUUUUUGAGUGAAAAAGCUUAAAUUUAAUUAAGGGACGAGAAGACCCUAUAGAGUUUUAUAAUUAUAGUAUUUAUGUAUUUAAUUAUUUAUUAAAUAACUAUAUUUAUUUGGUUGGGGUGAUUGGAAAAUUUAUUGAACUUUUUUAAUAAGUUAAACAUUGAUUUAUGAUUUUAUUGAUCCUUAUUUAUAAGAUUAUUAGAUUAAAUUACCUUAGGGAUAACAGCGUAAUUUUUUUUGAAAGUUCUUAUUGAUAAAAGAGAUUGCGACCUCGAUGUUGGAUUAAAAUUAAUUUUAGGUGUAGGAGCUUAUAAAUUUAGGUCUGUUCGACCUUUAAAUUUUUACAUGAUCUGAGUUCAGACCGGUGUAAGCCAGGUUGGUUUCUAUCUGUAAUUAGUUUAGAUAUUUUAGUACGAAAGGAAUAAAUGUUUAUAAUAAUUUAUAAUUUAAUGAUUAUUUAAUUAAUAUUAUGAUUUA
rnacentral:rRNA from 1 species